UACGAAGGGGGCUAGCGUUGCUCGGAAUUAUUGGGCGUAAAGCGCACGUAGGCGGUUCGUUAAGUCGGAUGUGAAAGCCCUCGGCUCAACUGAGGAAGUGCACCCGAAACUGGCGAGCUUGAGUACGAAAGAGGAUCGCGGAAUUCCCGGUGUAGAGGUGAAAUUCGUAGAUAUCGGGAGGAACACCGGUGGCGAAGGCGGCGAUCUGGGUCGAUACUGACGCUGAGGUGCGAAAGCGUGGGGAGCAAACAGGG
rnacentral:rRNA from 1 species